GCCAUGCCGCGUGUGUGAAGAAGGCCUUAGGGUUGUAAAGCACUUUCAGUGGUGAGGAAGGCGUUGUAGUUAAUAGCUGCAACGAUUGACGUUAGCCACAGAAGAAGCACCGGCUAACUCCGUGCCAGCAGCCGCGGUAAUACGGAGGGUGCGAGCGUUAAUCGGAAUUACUGGGCGUAAAGCGCACGUAGGCGGCUUGUUAAGCAAGAUGUGAAAGCCCAGGGCUCAACCUUGGAAUUGCAUUUUGAACUGGCAAGCUAGAGUUUUGAAGAGGGUGGUAGAAUUUCCAGUGUAGCGGUGAAAUGCGUAGAUAUUGGAAGGAAUACCAGUGGCGAAGGCGGCCACCUGGUCAAAAACUGACGCUGAGGAGCGAAAGCGUGGGGAGCAAACAGGAUUAGAUACCCUGGUAGUCCACGCCGUAAACGAUGUCGACUAGUUGUUCGUGUCUUUAAGAUGUGAGUAACGCAGCUAACGCACUAAGUCGACCGCCUGGGGAGUACGGCCGCAAGGUUAAAACUCAAAUGAAUUGACGGGGGCCCGCACAAGCGGUGGAGCAUGUGGUUUAAUUCGAUGCAACGCGAAGAACCUUACCAUCCCUUGACAUCCAGAGAAUUAUCUAGAGAUAGAUGAGUGCCUUCGGGAACUCUGAGACAGGUGCUGCAUGGCUGUCGUCAGCUCGUGUUGUGAGAUGU
rnacentral:rRNA from 1 species